AGUGAACGCUGGCGGUAGGCCUAACACAUGCAAGUCGAACGGCAGCACAGUAAGAGCUUGCUCUUACGGGUGGCGAGUGGCGGACGGGUGAGGAAUACUUCGGAAUCUACUUUUUCGUGGGGGAUAACGUAGGGAAACUUACGCUAAUACCGCAUACGACCUACGGGUGAAAGCAGGGGAUCUUCGGACCUUGCGCGAUUGAAUGAGCCGAUGUCGGAUUAGCUAGUUGGCGGGGUAAAGGCCCACCAAGGCGACGAUCCGUAGCUGGUCUGAGAGGAUGAUCAGCCACACUGGAACUGAGACACGGUCCAGACUCCUACGGGAGGCAGCAGUGGGGAAUAUUGGACAAUGGGCGCAAGCCUGAUCCAGCCAUACCGCGUGGGUGAAGAAGGCCUUCGGGUUGUAAAGCCCUUUUGUUGGGAAAGAAAAGCAGCAGGUUAAUACCCCGCUGUUCUGACGGUACCCAAAGAAUAAGCACCGGCUAACUUCGUG
rnacentral:rRNA from 1 species